GACGAACGCUGGCGGCGUGCUUAACACAUGCAAGUCGAGCGGAAAGGCCACUUCGGUGGUACUCGAGCGGCGAACGGGUGAGUAACACGUGAGUAAUCUGCCCUUCACUCUGGGAUAGCCACCGGAAACGGUGAUUAAUACCGGAUACGACCACUCCACGCAUGUGGUGGUGGUGGAAACUUUUGUGGGUGGGGGAUGUGCUCGCGGCCUAUCAGCUUGUUGGUGGGGUAAUGGCCUACCAAGGCUUCGACGGGUAGCCGGCCUGAGAGGGUGACCGGCCACACUGGGACUGAGACACGGCCCAGACUCCUACGGGAGGCAGCAGUGGGGAAUAUUGGACAAUGGGCGGAAGCCUGAUCCAGCAACGCCGCGUGAGGGAUGACGGCCUUCGGGUUGUAAACCUCUUUCAGCACCGACGAAGCGCAAGUGACGGUAGGUGCAGAAGAAGGACCGGCCAACUACGUGCCAGCCGCCGCGGUAAAAC
rnacentral:rRNA from 1 species